rnacentral:rRNA from 1 species
CCCGCACAAGCGGAGGAACAUGUGGUUUAAUUCGAUGAUACGCGAGGAACCUUACCUGGGCUUAAAUGGGGAGUGACAGCUGUCGAAAGAUGGUUUCUUCGGACACUCUUCAAGGUGCUGCAUGGUUGUCGUCAGCUCGUGCCGUGAGGUGUCGGGUUAAGUCCCAUAACGAGCGCAACCCUUACCGUUAGUUACCAUCAGGUUAAGCUGGGGACUCUAGCGGGACUGCCACCGUAAGGUGAGAGGAAGGUGGGGAUGACGUCAAAUCAGCACGGCCCUUAUGUCCAGGGCUACACACGUGUUACAAUGGCCGGUACAAAGGGCAGCUACUUCGCGAGAAGAUGCUAAUCUCGAAAGCCGGUCUCAGUUCGGAUCGAAGUCUGCAACUCGACUGCGUGAAGUCGGAAUCGCUAGUAAUCGCGGAUCAGCAUGUCGCGGUGAAUACGUUCCCGGGUCUU